AGCAGAAAGAGAGAGACAGAGUCUGAGAAAGAUACACAAUCAAUCACAAAGAGAGACAGAGUAGUACGGUGUGAAGAGAGAAAUAUCUAAGUUCCACCGUUAUGGUCAGUUUUUCCACCACCGGGUCAGCGAGUUUUUUUGGUCCAGCAUAUAGAGAGAGAGAAAUCUGAAGGACACUGCCACUGUCAGGCCAGCCUCCUGCACCGUAAGACUAAAAAAUUUCAAUGAUGGGGGGUUAUGCAACAAUGAAAUGGGCCACAAUAGCUUUUAUUGGUAAGCUAAUAUAAUCUUGGAAUCCUACAAUAUAUGUUUCGUUGCUUGCUGCUGUGUCUAUGGUGUUACUAAAUGGGAGCUGAUAUGAAUUUUUGGGUUUCUUUGAAUGCAGAUGAAAAUUUGCAUUGUUCUAUAUAUGUUAUUUUGAUAUUCUAUAUAUUUGUUUUUAUUGCAUUCCACAUGUUCAAUGAAAUCCCUUUUAGACUUAAUUAGUGAUGAUUGGAUUCAAUUUUUGCCGCCCUCAUACCAUGAUAAAUCUAAAUGAUUUAUUCAUUUAUGAACAAUGAAUUUGAACUAAAAAUUUCGAGGAUGAAGUCUAGAAGAUAUCAACAUGGUGGAAAAAAUGAAUUAUGAAACAAAUGUGAGGCAAUUGGUAGUAUUACAUAGCAUGUACAUAUUUUUUUUCAUGGCUAUGCAAUUGAUUGGGAGGCUCUUAAACACUACCCCACAGCCCCACUACCAAAUACACAUCUAUAUCCUGGAAUCCAUGGGCCCUAACUUUGAUAAUGACCCAUGUAAAAUUUGGAUGACAAAGAAAAGAAUUUGAGUGAAUGGAAUUAUUGAAAUUUAAACUUUAGCACAAAAUCAGAGUAAAAGAAUGCUAUUAGUCUUAUUUUAUUGAUUCCUUCUUGAUGAGAAGCAAAUGUAGAAGCCACAGAAACAGUUUCAUUCUUGGUCUACACCAUUGAGAGAUCAGCAAAAUCUUAAGCAACUUGGAGUCAACAAGCCUACAGCUCUUGCUUUUAUGCUCUUUGCUUUCAUGUGUAAGUUUCAAGUUCUGCUUUUUUUGCUAUCUAGGUUUUUUUAGUAGAUUUGGUUUAGCUUUAGCUUAAUUGCCUGUUUGGUUUUAUUUGUAUAAUUGUUUAGGUAUGUGUUAAUGAAGAUUUUUUAUUUUAUUUUAUUCUUUAUAAGUUAUUGAGUUUAUCAAAUCUGAAAAAACACAGAGCUUAGGAAAACAAAAAGAGAAAGCUAUUUAUUCAAAAAAAAUUCUCUUAGUAUUGGGUGUUCGCAUUUGGACCCACAAUAAGUAUAUUAGCCAGUCAGUUGACCAAAUGGCCAAAUCACUAACACACUAGCACUAGACUAGGUGUAGAAUAGCAAUCUGUGAAUAAUGCUACAACAUAGCAACAAAGAACCACAAUGAUCGACUAGCAGUGUGGUUUUAGAAUCAAUUCCCGUCUUAUGAACUGAUAAAUGUCUUAUGGACUUGCAUAUUACUGCUGUCAUGAAUUUUUAUGUUACCAAAUGUGGUCUAAAUUUGCUGAAUUUUAUGAUUAGUUACAAUUGUUUUCUUAUUAGCUUGCUAUACUUUUUGCACAAAUUCUUUUAUUUAUGGAUAUGCUUAUUUACCUAUGUUGAUUUCAAGGGAGGGUGGCAUUGACAAAUUGUUACUUUCUAAUUGGAAGAGUUAAGAGUUCCAAUAUGGUCAGUAUAUUUUGUUUUAGUAUGUCUAAUCUUUUUAGAAUAUUUGAAAAUGAACCAAAUGCUAAAAUCUUAAAUUGGGUUUCAUGACUUAGUUUUGGGUAUUUUGGUUGGGUUUUAGUUUUUUGGGUUAGAUUUGUAUUUUGGUUUGGGUUUCUAUAUCAAAGCCAGAAUUUUUUCCUUUCCUUCGAUUUGAAUAUAACUAAGAUUUAUGACUUAGUUUUGGGUAUUUUGGUUCGGUUUUAGGUUUUUGGGAUAGAUUUGUGUUUUGGGUUUUUGGGUUUCUGUAUCAAAGCUUUGUCUUUUUAGUUUAUAUUCUCUAUUUGUCUUUUAACGUCGUGAAUGAUUUCAGGAAUAUAGCACUAACGCAGAAGAUUAACCUCAAGUCGAACUGUGGACCUGUCAAGGUAAAAAAGAACCUUUGUUUGGGUUUUUUAAUGCUAUAGUUAAUUAUUUAUUUAUUUUUUUUAAGAAUUCCGUAAGAAACUUUUAUUGAAAAAAACACAUAAGCUCCGGCACCUUCAAGAAAGAAUAGCAACAAAAGCCUCCAAAACAAAUGUAUUUACAAAAACUUAACAAUACUACUAACCCAUCUAACAAAUUAUGUGCCUAGAAUUUGGUGAUAAUUUGUUAAUCCAGUUACAGAUUUUAAUAAAUACAAAUUGAUCCCUCCAAUCUCGGAUUGAAGCCUGAUACAUAAUCUCUUCAUGCUAUAAAAUAAGCUGUCGUGUAUCACCUGCAAUUUAUUUAUUUAUUUAUUUUUAUACUGUUUGUUCAAUAAUGUGUAUGUGUUUUUCUUUCUACUAUGCAUUUUAAAUUUUAUACUUAUGUGGGAAAGGGUCAAAAAGAAAGAAAGAAAAAUUUAGGAAUAGGGAGGACAUGGUAUGUGUAGAGUGUCUCAGGUGAAUUGGAGAACUAUGUUGAAUCAUUCAUACAUUAAGAAGUUUCUUCCUGCCUAAAAUUUUAUUUAAAAAAAAAAAAAAAUUAUGAAAUUGAUGUAGAAAUAAUAGUCUAUCUGAAGUGAAGGAAAUGUCUAUAGUUAGUGAAAAGAAGGAAUUUUAGCACCAAUCAUGUUCUCUAAUGUAUAAGUCUAACUAAUUGAUGUGUUUAAAUUUGUUCAAAAUGAGAUUUUAGAUGCAAUUCCUCCAGCAUGUAUGUGCUUCAACUUUGGACAGAUUUUGUAAAAAUUUCUAAAGAACUAUUUGAAUUACAACUUAUCAAAAAAAUAAAACUGCUUGAAUUACAAGAAUUAUGUGCUUUUAAUUAUUAACAAAAAUUUGAUUGACACUAUGGUGCUUAUGACCAUUACACACUUGAAACUUCCAUGGUGGAAAUUUGGUGGCUGGGAUUGUAAGAUGCAUUCUUAGAAUUCGGACUACAAAAGAUGCAAAGUGUAACUUGGAAGGGAAAAAAUAUGUAUUUAUUUAUUUUUUCCAAUUUUGUUUAGGUUCUUUUGUUCUUUUAUGGCUUUUAGGGAUUUAAUUUAGAUGCUGUUUGUGUAUUAAAAGUUGCAAUUAUUAACUAUGCUUGAUGCAUUUUUAUCUAUUUAAGAAUAGAACAUCAAUCUUAGGCAUCUACAUUCCAAUUUGGAUUUCCCUAGCAGAGGUGUAAGUGAUUCUGUUGCUUAGUGCUAAGUGUUAGCUAUAAAAGAUCUUAUAAUACUUUUAGCUACAUCCGAAUUCCUUUGAACUAUCAGCUAUGCUUUCUCUUAUCAAUUAGUUACUCUAUCAAAGUCAUUUAGAUUCAAACCAUCAAAUUUAGAGAAUUUAAGGUGGUUUUUUUUUUUUUUCAUAAAGGUUUGAUUUUGGUUUUUCCACAUUUAAAUUUUUCUUCUUAAAGUGUUUCUACUAAUAGAAAUUAAAAUAUUGUUUCUUUGUAUCUAUAUGUUGGAAUUUUACCUUUUAAUAUUAUUGAAUAUGCUCUCCUUAGUUUUCGUGAUUGUUAUAGAUCAAUAGAAAUAGUUUGAAUGGAUUAUGAAUAUAGGUGCACUUCUACUAUUGAAAGAAUUUUUUGGAACGUGGGGCUCAAAAGGUUGUAUUAGUUUCUAUCUUUUCAAAGGUUAUGUUUAAAUAGGUCUUCAUUAUGCUAUUUCCUCGAGUAGGACAACAAUGACCUUUUACCACACCAAAGAAUCCAGUUUGUUCCUAUUGUGUAUACCUUUGGAGUUGGCACGUUCAAGAUGGACUACAUUUGUGGGGGUUCAUAUGUGCUAUAGUUUUUGCAGGUGGAUGGUGAUGUUUCAAUUCAUCCGAGUGAAAUAGAGCUGGCACUUCAGUGCAUCAUGGACAGAAUAUGGGUAAUCUAACUAAAUUGUUUUUUGGUUAAAGAGAUCUUAGACUUAAUUUUCUGCUAUUGGGGAAUUUUGAACUUUUGGCAUUGUUAUUGAACCUGACUCUAUAUUACACAAUUGUCAUUUUUGUUUUUU